AGCCCUCAUAGUCUAGCUGGUUUAUGACGCAGGUCUCAUAGCGAGAAAAUGCUGUGACUGUCAAACGACAGAGAUAUCCUGAGGUCGCCAGUUCGAACCUGGCUGAGGGCAU